AACAUUCUUUGUUAUGGUUUCUAAAUCGAAUGUUAUUUCACUGGUGACUGUAAAGGUUUUAUGGAUUAUGCUGAAUUGCUACAAAAGUCCUCUAAACACAAGUUGUUUAAAGAAAUGGUAGUGAACCUUGAUAACCCUGUUAUUUACUGUGGUUGAAAAUGCAAGGAAAAAAAUGGAAAAUGCCUAAAACUAGGGUUUGUGAAUUGAUCCAUUUGCUCGGUAAUUUUGGUUGUUCUCUAUUGGUGUAACCCCUCCAGGCAGCGUGUGGUAUUAGAGGCCUUGCGUAUUAUGAUGGUGAUGCAGAACAGUUUGUUUAUAAAGAUUGCUCUUACAUUCUUACAGGAUUUUGCUCUUACAUUUUUGUUCUGGAUUUGCAGGUCUGUUAACUGCUGUAAGAAACACAAAUAAUUGGAAAAGGCAGUAAUUUAGAAAUUCUUGUUACUUGUUCUUUUGAAAUUUUGUAUUUUGUAUGCAUAGUAUGUAGUAUUGGUUAUAGAUUCAUCCACGAGUAGCAGUAAUUGCAUGUGCACGAGUAAUCAUGGAAUAUUGCAUGGUUAAGUUCACAGAUAUGAUAACCUGAAUAACACUACUCAUAUCUAAUUACAUAGUGAUAAGGUUUUCAUAAAUUAUGAUGAAUUGUAAGUUAGGCUUAAAACUUGAUUAAAACUUUUAAAAAUAGAAAUUUUCCAAUAAAUUUUAGUGGAAUGCUGGUCGAGGGAGUGAUCACCUACAAUUGGACCUUUUUCCUCUUCAAUAGGUACAUAGUAAUGAAUUUGUAUGAGAUGCUACAGCAGUUGUCUUGAGCUAAUGUAUUGAAAGUAAGCUACCAAUAGUUUGAUUAGACAACAAAGAAGGCUCAAAGGAUCUGAGUAAAUCAACCAAGUGGCUUGUAUAUAAAUUUGGUAAGAAUUUUUUUUAGGUUAGAUCCAUAUAGAUGAAAUGGAAUACCUUCAUCUUAGAAUCUUUAGUUUGGUUACAUUCAUUGUUUGGGUUUGAAUAUUUCUUACAGAUGCUGGGUAGAUAAACUACAGGGGUUGAAAUGUUUACUAACUCCGGGCAAAUGAAAGGUACAAUUUGUAAGUUGUAAAGUCCUGAGUUUUGUGCCAAUAUUUAUUGAGAAUCUAUACAUUUGUAUGUGAUGGUUUAGAUUUAAAACGGUAAAUCCAAAUAGAUUUUAGUGAAGAAUAAACCAUUUUUAAUUUCAUGUAUAAGGUUAGAACAUUACUAACAGACAAGACAAGGAGACAAGGAGAGAAAUGCAACAGGUGGGUUUUUCUUUUAAUAGGAAAAGGCAUGGGUUUGAUAGAUUUAGUGGUUUGUGUCAGUGGCUUACCAAGAAAAUUAGAUUAAUAGAUCCAUGGAAAUAAAAAGUUGACUUACACCAUUUGUGCUUUGCAGGAGUGAAACCAAUUAAUUUUGAAGCUCCCUUUCAAGAGAGGUCUUGUCAGCAACCUAUUGUGAUGAAGAUCGAAGAUGGUUAUGAAUAGCAAUUUUCUAUUUUUACAGCUUUGGGUGUGGAAGAGGUUGACACAACUUCUAGACCACAGAGGGACUCAAGACAGAAAAAUGCUCCGAAGUCAGAAUUUUUUCUAUUUGCAGAUUUUCAGAAGAGCUGGCAAACUCAAUUGUGAAAGUGGCACAUUGGCAGGGCUGGAGCAGUAGGUGAGGUCCUUUCCACAAGCUUGAAGCUGCACCUGGGGCUGGAGAAGAGCUGGAUGCCUUUCAGAUUUUUAACGAUCAGUUGAGUGCAGGUGCACAUGUAAAGACAUUGGAGUAGUUCUGAAUGUGAAAGUGGAAGUCCAUCAGGGUGUACCAGUCGCUGAUAACCAGGAUCAGCAGUUACAUGGUUUCUUUUUGUCUUUGGGCUCUACCUGUUUGGUAAUUUCCUCUAGUGUGUUGUGUGAAUGUCCAUGUUCUGUAAGGCUUCCAUUUUGUUCUGCAAGUUUGUUUGGGACACUUCAUUGCAUACACUGCUGCCUCAGUGUGAAUAGCUGAUGGUGGUGAUGGUUCUUUCUCCUCUGCAAAUAAUUUAAGGGCUCUGCCAAUGAGGGGAGCCUGGCCUGUGUCGACUAAUGUCGACUCGCUAACGUGUGUCAGCUGGUGCUGACUCGGCUCAGUCCUUACCUGCUGUGGUGCCCAGUCACAACAGUAACCUCAAGGCGACAAUCGCAACUUCUCGCGCCUGGGUAGGGCGCAAACCGCCAACCCCUCAGAUGAGAGGCCGGCACGUUACCACUGUACUAGCCCAGAGGCUGACUGGAGUGAUGGUGUGGGUUUGGCAUUAUAGUAGCUUUUGCACGUGGAAAUUAUCUUCUGAACCGAGCACAAGUGCUACUACGUGGGUGUGAAGCAGUCUGGAGGCUUUUGCCUUGCCCAGGUAUUUGAUCUGCUGAUUCAAUUAUUAAAAUACAGAAAUGAAAUGAAUUACAUGCAAUCAAGAAAAAUACAUAUAUACAAAGUGAAAGCUUCCUGUAGGGGUGGGAAACCCCCUUAGAUUCUCUCUCUCUCUCUCACACACACACACACACACACACACACACACACACACACACACACACACACACACACACACACACACACACACACACACACACACACGUGUAAGGAUUGGAGGCCUUUCCCCCUUCUAAGCAUUUAGCUUGCAUAGAGAGGUUCUGGGGGAUCUCUGUUUACCAGUAGGAGUGUCCUGGGCCACCAGGGUUACUUGUUUGGAUGUGUAUGUUUGUCUGUGUUGUAUGCCAUCCCCAGGUUCGUUUACUUUAAGUGUAUGUGUAUGAUCAGUGGCUCUGAAUGUUUGUUGUAGUGAUUGGCGGUGAUUCUGCUGCAUAUUCUGUCUUGUAUAGUGUUGUUGUUUAUCCAGUAUAAUGCUCUCUUCUGUAUAAAUUGCAUCUCAAACUUUUUUGAUUUAGAGAUUGCAGUCAGUGGAAUGGGUGUCUUUGAGUGUAGGUCUUACAGUGGUUUUACAGAAUGAGUUUAGUGGGUGUUGUGCAGUAUGAGAAGAUUUUUUUUUUUUUUUUUUUUUUUUUUU